GCGACCCCAGGUCAAGCGGGGGUA
rnacentral:rRNA from 1 species